GACGAACGCUGGCGGCGUGCUUAACACAUGCAAGUCGAACGCUGAAGCACCAGCUUGCUGGUGUGGAUGAGUGGCGAACGGGUGAGUAAUACGUGAGUAACCUGCCCUUGACUCUGGGAUAAGCCCGGGAAACUGGGUCUAAUACUGGAUGCUACAUGUCACCGCAUGGUGGUGUGUGGAAAGGGUUUACUGGUCUUGGAUGGGCUCACGGCCUAUCAGCUUGUUGGUGAGGUAAUGGCUCACCAAGGCGACGACGGGUAGCCGGCCUGGGAGGGUGACCGGCCACACUGGUACUGAGACACGGCCCAGACUCCUACGGGAGGCAGCAGUGGGGAAUAUUGCACAAUGGGCGAAAGCCUGAUGCAGCGACGCCGCGUGAGGGAUGACGGCCUUCGGGUUGUAAACCUCUUUCAGCAGGGAAGAAGCCACAAGUGACGGUACCUGCAGAAGAAGCGCCGGCUAACUACGUGCCAGCAGCCGCGGUAA
rnacentral:rRNA from 1 species